GGGAGAUAUCCCUCCGCAGAGCUGGGUCUGGCCGCGGGCGGGGAAGCAGGAAGUAAGGUGUCCAGCGCCGCGACCGGCUGGUCGUCCGCCUCGGCCCCCGCCCGCGUCCCCUUUCCCCCGGGGCGCAGCGCUACGGCGGGCGCGGGCCGCCCGGCGCAUUGUUCGCAGCCUUCGCGGCGGUGCGCUGCUGACUUUAUUUGUGCGCUUUGCGUGUGCGUGAGGUUGCACCUUUUGUAGGCUGGCGAGUCUCUGGACGAGGAUGGGACGGGGGACACGGGCCCAGUUGCGGCCCUGCGCGAGCGGGACCUGUCAGCCCUGAGAAUAAAGCCAAGUUGUGAUUUCGCCUCUACAGACCUCUCUACCCGCCCAGCUCUUCCUCGGAUAUUGUAAGCCCCGUCAAGCUUUCUUUGUUCAAGGGGUGGAGGAGGGGGCGCCUAACCUUUCCCCUUCCACCUCUUCUUACUAACUCCUGCUGGACCUUCAAGAUUUGACUCAACUGUCAGUAACUUCAAGAUGCCUUCCUGAGGGUACACCCAGGUCUCUACCUCAGGGGAAAAGACCUACCCUAGGUCUCCUGGCAGCAGCGCUGUGGCCGGAGUUGGCCCCAGUGGCGGCCUUUUUCCAAGCGGAGGAGGAACAGCCAAGCUAAGCUUGACCACCGUCACCGCCCAGGGACCUGAGCGGGAGCUGGCUAGGACAAAACCUCAAAACGGGACUUGGGAAAACCGCACCACCCAGAAAACUCAGCCCCUCCACCUCCCUCCCAGCACACACACACACCCUCUUAAUCUAAAACUCCUCCCCGGGGCAGAUAAGGAACCUAUUCGGAGAGUUAAGUUAAUUGCCCCAGGUCAAUGUGGAAAUUCACAGCCUGUCUUUCCAGCUCCUAAACCAGAAGCUGCAGAGAAGGAAGGAUUUGGGAUUUGCGGCUACACAGCCAAGGACGCUUUUGUCAUCUUCAAAGGACCCCCUACACCCUACACGCUUGGCCCGCUCUGUUCAUUGCCAACAGAGUGAUGGUUGAAUGCAUUCACAUGGUUCCAAAUUCAAAUAAACAGCAAGAAGUCUCCCUCCCACCCUGUCUGCCACCCACUUGGUUUUCCUUCUCUGGAGGCAACCUGGGUUAGUGGUCAGAAGAUGCAUUUAACUGUUUUCCAGCUGAGGCCUUGUGAGAACUCCUCGGACACCAAUUUAAAUCUUUAUGUCCAGAACUCCUUUCUCCAAUCCAGGUAGAGCCACUCCCCUAUCCUAUCCCCACUCCCACCCUUCCCCCCUUCAGCCUCAAUCCUAAGCAGGCUCUAUUAACAAUGAUGAGCCACCAUUUCCUCGAGCUACUAACAAAUGCAAAUGUUUAAAUACUUUGUGGUUCUUUUUCCUCUUCUACAUUAAUUGCUAACAUUUAUCGAGGGCUUUCCGUGUGCCACGCACUGUGCUAAAUACUAGGCAUGCAUAUUCUUAUUUAAUCUGCCCCAAAUCUUCAUCAUUAUCCUUAUUUACAGAUGCAGACAGAAAUGAAAGUUCAGAGAGAUUAUGUAAUUUGCACCAAUUUGCAUCCAGGCCAACCUGAAUCCAAACCCUAUCUCUUUUUACUUUUUCUUUCCUUUUUUUUUUUUUUUUUAAACAGGGUCUCACUCUUGUCAGCCCAGAUGGCAUGCAGUGGCACAGUCUAUGGAGGCAAUCAGGGUUAGCUGUCAGCUCACUGUGGCCUCAACCUCCCAGGCGCAAGUGAUCCUCCCACCUCAGCAUCCCCAGUAGCUGGGACUACAGGUGUACGCCACUACCCCCAGCUAAUUUUUGUAUUUUUUUGUAGAGAUGAGGUUCCACCAUUCUUGCCCAGACUGGUUUCGAACUCCUGGACUCAAGCGAUUUGCCUGCCUCGGCCUCAAAAAGUGCUGGGAUUACAUGCAUGAGCCACCACACCCGGACCCUCUCUCUUAAAUAGUGGCCCUUUUGCCUCUCUGCAACACAGGAAAAAUUCUGUUAGCCUGCAUCAGAAGGAGUGGCAUGGAGGCUUUGGAGUUAAGAAGAUUUAAUUCAAAUUAUGUGUCCGGUGCCUGCCAGCAAUGAGACCUUGGUAAGGUUUCUUAACCUCUCUGAGCUGGGACCAUACCUUCUGCGUUGGUUUAAUAUAAAGGUUAAAUGCAUGUAAAUAAAUGACUUCUAAAAUAAAUAACAUUCUAAAAUGUUAGUAACAACUAAAUACAAUAUUUAGAUCUUGUGAGGAUUUGAUUUGAAUAAAUAAGAUUUUUUUAAAAGACAUUUUUGAGACAAAAUGUAGACUAUCUGAUAUUAAGAAAUUAAUCACUUUUUCAGAUAUGAUAAUGGCAUUGCAGUUUUUUUUAAGUUCUUAUCUAUUACAGAUACAUAAUGAGGCAUUUUGAGUGAAAAUAUAUCUAGGAUUUGCUUUCCAAUACUCCAUCCCCUCCCCAUCAAAACACUAAAUAAAUGAAACAAGAUUAGUGAAAUACGGAAAAUUGUUGAAGUUAUUCAUUAUUCCAUUUCCCAUAUGGAACUUUCCAUACUAGUUUCCCUACUGCUGUUGAAUAUUUGACAUGUUUCAAAUACAUUUGAAAUAAAUUUAUUGUCUGAGAUGAUCAGGUUGAAAAAUAAUAAAAUGAAAUAAAUUUAAAAGUAAAAUAAACAUAACCCUUUUAAGCAUUAAAAUUAAAAAUUAUGAGGCUUGUUGAAUUAUUACUGUUAUAAAUAAUUACAUACAUGUAUUUUUGAAACAGUCUUGCUCUUUCACCCAGGCUGCAGUGCAGUGGCAUAAUCACAGUUCACUGCGGCCUCAACCUCCCAGGCUCAGGUGAUCCUUGCACGUCUGCCUCCCAAGUAGCUGGGACUGCAGGUGUGCACCACCAUGCCUGGCUAAAUUUUUCUCUUUUGUAGAGACGGGUUUUGCGAUUUUGCCCACACUGGUCUUAAAGUCCUGGG
rnacentral:lncRNA from 10 species